rnacentral:lncRNA from 1 species
UUUAAAUCAAAAUGGUACAUGAAGGGAGGUUUGGACCUUGGUCGGACCUCUAGAAUACAAUAAGAAACUAAGAAAGGGCCGAGGUUUGGACCUUGGUCUGACCUCCAGAAUACAAUAAUAAUGUACAAUUAUAAAAAAUUAAGAAAUCUUACUAAUCAUCAGUGAUUCAGUGAAUCAGUAUUCACUCUUCAGUCUUCAGUCUUCAGUCUUCAGUAGUGUUUGUAUCAUCAUCAUCAGAGGAUGUUGUAUUAUGUCCACCUUUAUCUUGAAGUCUUGCCUCAGCAUCCAACCAAUCCUUGAAGCAGAGAAGCAUCUCCACCAUUUCGCCCGUCAUCCUACUUCUCUUUUCGUCAAGAACACGCCGACCUGCACUAAAAGCGGAUUCCGAUGCUACCGUGGACAUCGGUACAGCUAAAAUAUCGCGUGCAAUUGCAGACAUAACAGGAUAUUGAUUUCUAACACUCUUCCACCAAGAUAAUACAUCUAGAUUCUUUAUUUGAUUUUCAUCAUAUGCAGACGGAAGAUCAUUUCGUAAAUAAAAUUCUAGUUCACUACUUAAAGAUGAAGAAGAUGAAGAGGAACUUGAAGCAUGUGUGUGUCUUCUCUGUGCAAUGAAUGAAAAAAUAGAUGACGAACGAGAACUACUAGAAGAAGAAAUAGAGGUUUGUAUUUGUGUUCUAGAUCCACAAAUUUUUUCAUCAUAUAUAGCAUAAAUAUCAUAAAGAAGUUGUUUUACCUCGUCUUUAGCAGAUUCAGAAUCUUGAUUCAUAUUUUCAGAAUAUGCAUCAAGUAAAAUUAGCAUGCCAUUUAAUUUAACUCUAGGAUCAAAUACAGCAGCUAAGUUAUGCAUAGGACAUAUCUUGUCCCAAUACUCAUUCCAUUUAGAUUCCAUGAGGUCAAUAAUAGGCAUUAAAACAUCAUCAUAUCUAUGUUUUGCAAAUUUUUGACUAAUUAUAUAUGCUUGUUGUAAAAAUGAACAUGAAGUAGGGUAAUAAAUACCAGAAAGAACAUUGGUAGCAUUAUAAAAACUAAGCAAAAAAUCUUCCAAAAUUUUUUCUUUAUUCCAAUCAGUUUCAGACAAUGUAAAGCCUAAUCCACGAUCAUUAAUAUAUGCACUUAAUAAGUUUUUAUAUGGGUAUGCAUCAUGUAUCAUGCUAUAUGUGGAGUUCCAACGAGUAAUUACAUUAAGUUUAAAUUUUUUAAAACGUUUAUCAUGAUUUAUGCAUAAUUCCUUAAAUUCUUGAAGUCUUGAUCUUGAAGCAUGAAUAAAAGAAACUGCAUUUCUAAUUUUUGAAAUCACAUCUUGAAUCAUGCCCAUGCCAGCUUGAACAGAAAGAUUUAAGAUAUGACUUGCACAUCUAAUAUGCAGUAAAUUUCCAUCUAAUAUGGGAUGCAAUGAGUCUUUUAACAAUGCAACAGCAGAAAUAUUAUUAGAUGCAUUAUCAAAAAUAA